rnacentral:rRNA from 1 species
UACGGAGGGUGCAAGCGUUAUCCGGAUUCACUGGGUUUAAAGGGUGCGUAGGCGGGCAGGUAAGUCAGAGGUGAAAUCUCCGGGCUUAACCCGGAAACUGCCUUUGAUACUAUCUGUCUUGAAUAUGGUGGAGGUAAGCGGAAUAUGUCAUGUAGCGGUGAAAUGCUUAGAGAUGACAUAGAACACCCAUUGCGAAGGCAGCUUACUACGCCUAUAUUGACGCUGAGGCACGAAAGCGUGGGGAGCGAACAGG